rnacentral:rRNA from 1 species
UACGUAGGGGGCAAGCGUUGUCCGGAUUUAUUGGGCGUAAAGAGCGUGUAGGCGGUUUGGUAGGUCCGUUGUGAAAACUCGAGGCUCAACCUCGAGACGCCGAUGGAAACCAUCAGACUAGAGUCCGGAAGAGGAGAGUGGAAUUCCGUGGUGUAGCGGUGAAAUGCGCAGAUAAUCAGGAAGAACACCCGUGGCUAAGGCGGCUCUCUAGUACGGUACUGACGCUGAGACGCGAAGCGUGGGAGCGAACAGG